AUUGAACGCUGGCGGCAUGCCUUACACAUGCAAGUCGAACGGCAGCGCGGGGCAACCUGGCGGCGAGUGGCGAACGGGUGAGUAAUAUAUCGGAACGUACCCUGGAGUGGGGGAUAACGUAGCGAAAGUUACGCUAAUACCGCAUACGAUCUAAGGAUGAAAGUGGGGGAUUCGCAAGAACCUCAUGCUCCUGGAGCGGCCGAUAUCUGAUUAGCUAGUUGGUGGGGUAAAGGCCUACCAAGGCAUCGAUCAGUAGCUGGUCUGAGAGGACGACCAGCCACACUGGGACUGAGACACGGCCCAGACUCCUACGGGAGGCAGCAGUAGGGAAUCUUCGGCAAUGGGCGAAAGCCUGACCGAGCAACGCCGCGUGAAUGAUGAAGGCCUUCGGGUUGUAAAAUUCUGUUAUAAGGGAAGAACGACUUUAGUAGGAAAUGGCUAGAGUGUGACGGUACCUUAUGAGAAAGCCACGGCUAACUACGUGCCAGCAGCCGCGGUAAUACGUAGGUGGCGAGCGUUAUCCGGAAUUAUUGGGCGUAAAGAGCGCGCAGGUGGUUGAUUAAGUCUGAUGUGAAAGCCCACGGCUUAACCGUGGAGGGUCAUUGGAAACUGGUCAACUUGAGUGCAGAAGAGGGAAGUGGAAUUCCAUGUGUAGCGGUGAAAUGCGUAGAGAUAUGGAGGAACACCAGUGGCGAAGGCGGCUUCCUGGUCUGUAACUGACACUGAGGCGCGAAAGCGUGGGGAGCAAACAGGAUUAGAUACCCUGGUAGUCC
rnacentral:rRNA from 1 species